rnacentral:rRNA from 1 species
GAUGAACGCUGGCGGCGUGCCUAAUACAUGCAAGUCGAGCGAAUGGAUUAAGAGCUUGCUCUUAUGAAGUUAGCGGCGGACGGGUGAGUAACACGUGGGUAACCUGCCCAUAAGACUGGGAUAACUCCGGGAAGCCGGGGCUAAUACCGGAUAACAUUUUGAACCGCAUGGUUCGAAAUUGAAAGGCGGCUUCGGCUGUCACUUAUGGAUGGACCCGCGUCGGAGUAGCUAGUUGGUGUGGUAGCGGCUCACCAAGGCAACGAUGCGUAGCAGACCUGAGAGGGUGAUCGGCCACACUGGGACUGAGACACGGCCCAGACUCCUACGGGAGGCAGCAGUAGGGAAUCUUCCGCAAUGGACGAAAGUCUGACGGAGCAACGCCGCGUGAGUGAUGAAGGCUUUCGGGUCGUAAAACUCUGUUGUUAGGGAAGAACAAGUGCUAGUUGAAUAAGCUGGCACCUUGACGGUACCUAACCAGAAAGCCACGGCUAACUACGUGCCAGCCGCCGCCGUAA